rnacentral:rRNA from 1 species
GACGAACGCUGGCGGCGUGCUUAACACAUGCAAGUCGAACGGAAAGGCCCUGCUUUUGUGGGGUGCUCGAGUGGCGAACGGGUGAGUAACACGUGAGUAACCUGCCCUUGACUUUGGGAUAACUUCAGGAAACUGGGGCUAAUACCGGAUAGGAGCUCCUGCUGCAUGGUGGGGGUUGGAAAGUUUCGGCGGUUGGGGAUGGACUCGCGGCUUAUCAGCUUGUUGGUGGGGUAGUGGCUUACCAAGGCUUUGACGGGUAGCCGGCCUGAGAGGGUGACCGGCCACAUUGGGACUGAGAUACGGCCCAGACUCCUACGGGAGGCAGCAGUGGGGAAUAUUGCGCAGUGGGCGGAAGCCUGAUGCAGCAACGCCGCGUGCGGGAUGACGGCCUUCGGGUUGUAAACCGAUUUCGCCUGUGACGAAGCGUGAGUGACGGUAAUGGGUAAAGAAGCACCGGCUAACUACGUG